rnacentral:rRNA from 1 species
CUCAUACAGGGGGAUAACAGUUAGAAAUGACUGCUAAUACCGCAUAAGCGCACGGAAUCGCAUGAUUCAGUGUGAAAAGCCGAGACGGUAUGAGAUGGACCCGCGUCUGAUUAGGUAGUUGGUGAGGUAACGGCCCACCAAGCCGACGAUCAGUAGCCGACCUGAGAGGGUGACCGGCCACAUUGGGACUGAGACACGGCCCAAACUCCUACGGGAGGCAGCAGUGGGGAAUAUUGCACAAUGGGGGAAACCCUGAUGCAGCGACGCCGCGUGAGUGAAGAAGUAUUUCGGUAUGUAAAGCUCUAUCAGCAGGGAAGAAGAUGACGGUACCUGAGUAGGAAGCCCCGGCUAACUACGUGCCAGCAGCCGCGGUAAUACGUAGGGGGCAAGCGUUAUCCGGAUUUACUGGGUGUAAAGGGAGCGUAGACGGUGAAGCAAGUCUGGAGUGAAAACCCGGGGCUUAACCCCGGGAUUGCUUUGGAAACUGUUUAACUGGAGUGCAGGAGAGGUAUGCGGAAUUCCUAGUGUAGCGGUGAAAUGCGUAGAUAUUAGGAGGAACACCAGUGGCGAAGGCGGCUUACUGGACUGUAACUGACGUUGAGGCUCGAAAGCGUGGGGAGCAAACAGGAUUAGAUACCCUGGUAGUCCACGCGGUAAACGAUGAUUACUAGGUGUAGGUGGGUAUGGACCCAUCGGUGCCGCAGCUAACGCAGUAAGUA